GACCCCAGGUCAGGCGGGAUUACCCGCUGAGUUUAAG
rnacentral:rRNA from 1 species